rnacentral:rRNA from 1 species
AAACGACUCUCGGCAACGGAUAUCCCGGCUCUCGCAUCGAUGAAGAACGUAGCGAAAUGCGAUACUUGGUGUGAAUUGCAGAAUCCCGUGAACCAUCGAGUCUUUGAACGCAAGUUGCGCCUGAGGCCACUAGGCUAAGGGCACGUCUGCCUGGGUGUCAUGU